AUCCUCAACAAAACAAAGCAAAAUAAGGUGACUUCCAUUUCAAGAAAGUUCGGCUUGAAUCCCCAUCAACCUUCGAGCCCUCUUGGAAGUUGAAUGCGUGUAUCAAAUUAACUGAACUUAGAAACUGGAGAUCAUCAAGAAGAAGGGGUGGGUAAAAAUUAAAUUUGAUCCUUAUAUCCAUUUGUUUACAAAAAAUCUGAACCAUGCCACAUUACAACCCUUAAAAGACCUAAUUG
rnacentral:lncRNA from 1 species